CGCCCAGCCGGGUAGUGGCUACGGCGGAGCAAGACACCUGGACCACACCGACCCGGGACCGGGCGGCACCCGUGGGAUCGGAGAACCGCUCUGCGCCGGACCCCAAAGGAACUCCCCGCAGCUUGUCCCCGCCGCCCCGGGCCUCUCUCGAGACAUCGGCUUCGUUCUCACGCCUUUGGCGAGCCACACACCGGCAGCAAGAAGCGAGCUCCGAGGAGCAGGUCCCCGUCUGCCAUGGCCCGGGCCGAGUCUCCAAGAACUGGGAGGGUGACUGCCAUCCCUGGUCCUGGAAUUCGGAUUCUGUAUGCCGAGUUUGCGACACAGUCUGACCCUCGCCACACUCCAACAUACCAAGCCGGUGGCCACCACGGACGCGCUCAGACCCACACCCGUCAUCCACCUGCCGCGAACACACCUGUGAAUCUGGAGGGCACACACAGACACACACACACCAGUGACACACCCAUCGCCGCAUACAACCGCACACGAACACUUCUAGGGACAUGUGGGGCUCAGCGCAGAGCUGUCCCCAGGGAACCACUGCUCCCUGCCGCGACGCCCUCACCUCCGAAAGUCUUGAUAUUGCGGUGGAUCUGCGCCUGGCUCCGGCUCCGAUCCUCUCGACUGUGACAGCGGCGGCUCACACCUCUCGGCUGGUGCGCUUGGCUUCGCGCAGCAUUCUUAUAGCAUCCAUCGGUUUGGCCCCGCCCCGGCCCGCCUCGGAGGCAGGACCAGCCGCUGCUCCCUCAUCCCCGGGACGCGCUGGCCCGCCCUCCCCUCCGGGAAUCUAAGCCCGCGCCUGACUGGGCUCCAGACAGCCCGAACCCCGCGCGCGCGCGCGGCAAGAGGGCGCGCCCUCCCCUCCCCCCACACCUGGCUGUUGGCUGGUCACGUACCCCAACCAGCAUCUAUGAACAGCACUACUGUUCCCGCUGAGCGUUUACGGGUCUGUCCCUGACCAACUCUGGGAAGGAUUUAGAUGAUGAAUCCCACUAUGCCUGGAGAUCUUCCCUCAGUAGGCACCCUUCUCUAGAAGCACCUGAGGCACCCAGACACCCCAACAGAGCAUCUUUGGGCUCCAAACCCGAGCUUAUCCUCUCAGAGAUGAGGAAAACAGGCCCACAGAAGUAAAGGAUGCCAAGCUUUUGAUGUCAACUGCCUCAGAAAGGGAGGACAUUGAGUCCAGUUCUCAGAAAGAGGCAAUGGUUACCAGGGAAAACAGCGGCUCUCCCUCCCUCCCUCUCGCCUCUGCAGAAGCCGGUGUGUGGACAUUCUUUUUUCACACAGCCAACACAUACCGAAAUGGGGAAACUAAGGCUCAGGGAGGCCCAAGACCUGAUUCAGACCACACAGCCAAGAAAUGGCUCCUGCUUGGUCUCUGGGGUGCUGCCCAGAGCUCUGUGCUUUCUGCUGUCUAUUUCUGGGUCCAAGGUGAGGAAAAUGCCCAAUACCCCUCAGUUCCAGACAGUUCGCAGAGACGACAUGGAUAAAGGACAAUUCUAGAAAGAUCUUUGAUGCUCCUGAUAGACCAGAAGUGAGUGUCAUCAGUUCCCAACCCCCCUCCCCCCGUUUUAUUUUGCUUCCUAAUCAGUUUUAUUUUACUCUGUUUGGGGGUUUUGAGACAGUGUCUUGCUGUGUAGCCCAAGGUGGCCUCAAACCCAAGGCAAUUCUGCUGCCUUAACCUCCUUCCUGAGAACUGAGACUACAGGUCUGAGCCACCCUACCCAGCUGUUGGGGGUUUUCUUCAGACAGUCUUAUUAUGUGGUCCAGCCUGGCCACACGGGCUGUUUAGCAAGACCCCCGUCUCAGCCAGCCAUGGUGAUACAUGUCUGUAAUCCCAGCACUUGAGAGGCAGGGAGAUUUGGAGCUCAAGGCCAGCCUGCGAAACAUGAGGCCCCCACCUCAACCAAUCAGAUAGAGCUGGGGAUGUAGCUCAGUUAGUAGAGUUCGAUCCCCAGUACUGUGGUGGCAUGAGUCUGUAAUCCAAGCCAGGGUUCAGGAGGAUCAGUAAUUCAUCAGGGCCAUCCAACAUAGCAAGUCUGAGGCUGGCCUUGGUUACAAGAGACCCUGCCUCAAAAAAACAAAAACAGACCCCUCUCUCAAAACAAAUGAACAGAAACAAAAAAUUCAAAUGCAGAGAACAGAGCUUUACUCUCCACAGAAAUCUCAGUUAAAAGAGUAGAAUCCCGCUUUGGAGUAGCUGUGAGCUCCCACAUCUGCUCUUGGAUGCUAGAAAUCACUGCCCAGACAUGCCCGUCUUCCUCUUCUGAUUUAGCUGACCUAAGGAGCACAGGCCUCCUCCUCUGUGGUGGGGGUUGGAAGUCUGAGAAGGGCAUGGAGCACCCUUCCAACCCCCUGGACAGCCUGGCUCUGGAUAGAAGCCAGGACUAGAAUCCGUCCUCAGGACCACUCCCACAACACCCCAGCUCCUGAACCAUCCCCUUCCUGUACCCAGGUCGUCCCAAAGCUGGGCUGUCAUGGGCCAGCACAGGACGUCCAACUGCUCAAAUCCCUUUGGCCUCCCGGGCAUUUCAGAUAGACGUGACAUUGUCUGUCUGUUUACUUUGGGAGAAAACAGUUUUAAUAAAGGCUUGUAGUGAAACGCUGA